CUAAGACCUAGGGCCUGACUGCAGGCGUUUGCUGCAGGCGUUUCUGUGCUGAUCAAGAGCCACAGAAAAAGAGGUCAUAUUUGAGCAUAAAUCGAAGUUUUAAAAGGGAAAUAGGAUCAAACUGACUCAUUUUUGGAGAUGAGAAAGUGUUUCUUUACCAGGGGGCUUUAGCAGCAUCCAAAAACACCAUCCUUGGAAUCAGGAGGGAGAAAGCAUGACCACAGCUUCAUUCCAUUAAGAGCUACUGUGUGAAAUAUUUACAGAUGAAAUGAUGCCAAGCCUGGGAUCUGCUUCAAAAUAAUCCUGGGUAUGCAGUGGAGUGAAGGUAAAACCAGACCAUGAUGCAAUCAUUGUUGAAGCUGGAUGAAAGAACCAUUCUCUGGAUGGGAACGUGUAACAGUGGUGUUCUUUGGAUUGACUGAGCUAAUUUAAAAUGUUGGGACUGCAGGAGCCUUACGCAGAGUAUAGAAAUCCUACACUGGCACGAUUAUAUGGCAAGGAUUUGAAAGGCUUAUAACAAAGAGCAAGAACUUCCAUGGAAAAUCACUGUAAAGAUUCACAAAAAUUAAGAACAUCUCUCAAUGUCUGGGACUAAAACCAAACAGGGACCCGAGAAUCAGGGCUGAGCCGUGUUGGAAUCUUGAUCUUCUGGCAGAAAACUCUUCUAAAACCUUCCAACAUGACACCGCUUGUGUAUAGGUGUUCCAAACCGAAUGUCCAGUUAUUUCCACCAUUGUGCAAAAAUGGGAGACCCUGCUGAGCAGCAGAUGGCCCUCAGCGAGGCUGACACUCAGGCCAGGCCCCAGGUGGCAGCUCUCAGAACACACUGUCCAGUUAAACCCUGCAUAGACUAGCCACAGAAGAUACCUGGUGUUCACAUCCCCCAAAAGUUGGCCAAAUGACAGGGUCAUGAAGUACACUUCAUGGGUUAGUAGGGAGAACCAGCAUUUCAGAAGUAUGCAAAUCACUGGGUCCCCGCUGUCAAACACUGCAAAUAUGUAGCAUGCUAAGAAAAGAAUCUCCUUACCUCUCAGAUUCUGUAUUGCUCACUUCAUCUGAGUUGCUACAAUGGACAAUAAAAUCUAAUAAGUUAAAAUAAGGUGUGGAAUGCUCAGGAGAAAAACAAAGACUAGUGCUCCUCAUCUGAGUGAAUAAUUUCUCUCACAGAGUUUAUUUUAGCUUUGCAAGUUUUUUAUUUGUGAUAUUUUAAAUUGGAAUUUGUGCAUGUGUGAUUUAAAAUAAAAAAGGCAAUCAAGUCUUUCUGCCAAUCUAGGUGAUGUGAAAUUUAAUUAUGGAGCAGUUAUUAUUAAAACAAAGGCAAAGCAAUUUUUUACACAUAGUUCAAUAUUCCAGAAGAGAAUUUCUGAAAAAUUCAAAGGUCCAAAAGACAACUUCUCAGUGAGAAUGACUGUUUCAAUGAGAUAUCCUAUUUUGUAGUAUUGGAGCCCCAGAAUUUCUAGUUAGACAUUAAUAAGUCUUGCCAGAAUUGCUAUAGCUCAGUUUUGCCGUCUGCAUCUAGAAAUAUGGAAGACAGCUAUGUUACUGGUUAUGACUCCACAGUAAUGAGUAAUGAAAAUUUCUACAUCAACACCAGUGUGACUCAGCCUGAUUUACCUGGAAAACAUUACUGUUAUACAGAAUCCAAAGAAAUAAAUACCUCAAUCCAUUCAGGAAUGUUCUUUUCCCAA